rnacentral:rRNA from 1 species
UGUAUAUGUUAUAAAGUCUAGCCUGCCCACUGAUUGAUUUAAAGGGCCGCGGUAAUUUGACCGUGCGAAGGUAGCAUAGUCAGUAGUCUUUUAAUUGAAGGCUUGAAUGAAAGGUUGGACGAGGGAUGAGCUGUCUCCUUUAUGUAAUUUGAAUUUAACUUUUGAGUGAAAAGGCUCAAAUUAUUUAGUGGGACGAUAAGACCCUAUAAAACUUUAUAUAAGUUUAAUUUGGCUUACAAUUUGAGUGAAAAGUAGCUUUAUUAGGCUUAUAUUUCGUUGGGGAGAUGUAGAUAUAGUGUGUAACUGUCUAUUUAAUUUAAUAAUUAUAAUUAUUGUGUGAUCCUUCUUUGGGGAUUAAAAGUAUAAGUUACCUUAGGGAUAACAGCGUGAUUUUCUUUGAGAGUUCUUAUCCACAAGAGUA